rnacentral:rRNA from 1 species
UACGUAGGGACCAAGCGUUGUUCGGAUUUACUGGCGUAAAGGGCGCGUAGGCGGCGUGGUAAGUCACUUGUGAAAUCUCUGAAGCUUCAACUCAGAACGGCCAAGUGAUACUGCUGUGCUAGAGUGCAGAAGGGGCAAUCGGGAAUUCUUGGUGUAGCGGUGAAAUGACGUAGAUAUCAAGAGGAACACCUGAGGUGAAGACGGGUUGCUGGGCUGACACUGACGCUGAUGCGCGAAAGCCAGGGAGCAAACGGG